rnacentral:rRNA from 1 species
UACAGAGGUCCCAAGCGUUGUUCGGAUUUACUGGGCGUAAAGCGCGUGUAGGCGGUUUGGUAAGUCUGAUGUGAAAGCCCCGGGCUCAACCUGGGAAGUGCAUUGGAAACUGUCAGACUUGAAUACGGGAGAGGGUAGUGGAAUUCCUAGUGUAGGAGUGAAAUCCGUAGAUAUUAGGAGGAACACCGGUGGCGAAGGCGGCUACCUGGACCGAUAUUGACGCUGAGACGCGAAAGCGUGGGGAGCAAACAGG